AAGAUCUGAAAGUUAGGGUUUUGCUCUGACUUUGUGAGAAGAGAAGAAAAAAGAAGAAGAAAAAAGAAAGAAGAAGAAGAUGUUUCUCGGAGGUAUGCCUCGAAAGCCAGACAAAUCAGCUGCACUGAAGCAGCUUCUAAAUCACGGACUUAUGUUUGUAGGAUUUUGUGGUGUUGUUCGUGUCACUCCUUAUAUCCUCCAUUACCUCUACGCUGAAAACGAACAACUCACACUCGAUAUCGCUAUCUAGUUUCUUACUUUUCAGUGGGUGUGGUUUCUAGAGCAUUCAAGGAUGUAGGAAUAGAGGAGCUUUUGGGAGGCCUUCAUGAGGGGAUCUACAACGAAUUUGUUUCAGUUUUUGUUGUCUCCUUAAACUAAGGAACUCCUGCUAUAUGUGUUUUAUAAUAACUGAAGUUUUUUUAUCCUGUAUGGUUUUUCAUUCGACGACAGUACCUAAUUAAUUCUAUGAAAUUUUCGGCAGAGCACUCCUAUUAUGAGUUACUCCAUGGGAAUAACGUUGAAGUAUUUUGUGCUAACAAUUUCAUUACUG